GAUGUGUGCUCUUCCGAUGACUAAGGGAUGCUGGGAGAGUUAAGUGAGAUGAGCCACCCGACAGUGCCUGACAAUCAGGCAGCAUUCAAU